UGGGGAAUUUUGGACAAUGGGGGAAACCCUGAUCCAGCCAUGCCGCGUGCGGGAAGAAGGCCUUCGGGUUGUAAACCGCUUUUGUCCGGGAAGAAAUGACCUCCCCUAAUACGGGGGGUUCCUGACGGUACCGGAAGAAUAAGCACCGGCUAACUACGUGCUAGCAGCCGCGGUAAUACGUAGGGUGCGAGCGUUAAUCGGAAUUACUGGGCGUAAAGCGUGCGCAGGCGGUUCGCUAAGUCUGAUGUGAAAGCCCCGGGCUCAACCUGGGAAUGGCAUUGGAAACUGGCGGGCUUGAGUGUGGCAGAGGGGGGUGGAACUCCACGUGUAGCAGUGAAAUGCGUAGAGAUGUGGAGGAACACCGAUGGCGAAGGCAGCCCCCUGGGCUAACACUGACGCUCAGGCACGAAAGCGUGGGGAGCAGACAGGAUUAGAUACCCUGGUAGUCCACGCCCUAAACUAUGUCAACUGGGUGUUGGGGAAGCGAUUCCUCAGUACCGUAGCUAACGCGUGAAGUUGACCGCCUGGGGAGUACGGCCGCAAGGUUA
rnacentral:rRNA from 1 species